UCUUUACAGUCAUCUGAUUAAUUGAUUUUAAUCAAAGUGGGCCAUUAUCUUUUAUGGGAUCAAAACUUCAUCAUAAUGUUUGGGCCUAAAUCAUUUUGAGCUCUAUUCUAAAUAUAUUUGAUUUUAGUAAUCGAUCUUGCUAUAAAAUAUUUGCAUCCAGUUAAUCCCAACUCAAUCUUAAAGGAACAUGCAUUUAUCUCAAAAUCUUGGUCACUUAAUUAGUGCUGAUCUCAUUAGUCUAUAUCUUAAUUAUAAAUGUGAUAAAAAAUUUUUGAUCAUACUAAUUUCAAUCAAGGAGAGAUAAGAUUUUUUAUUGUACCUCAAAGGGGCAAAAAUUCCAAAAUUGACUUGGAGGUGCCGAAUUGUGAAGUAUUCUUGAAAAGAGUUUGUGCUUUUACAUAAAAGUAUGCAUGAGUAUUGUGGUUGUCCCAAGAGGUCAGAUUUUACUUACGGGCAUUUUAGUAAUAUGAUCACAUACUCAAAAAUACCAAGCCAGGAUAAAUUAGAGCAUAUAAGUUUUGGAUUGAGCAUCUUUAACUUAAAAGGAUUUAGAUUUCUCAAAUUUCAAGGAUGGAAACUUUAUAAGGAGGGAGAAUGUGAGAAUCGAUCCAAUUGGAUCUAACUUUAUGUGAAGUCGGCAAGGCUUGCUGACUUCAUCAAAAAAUUUUCAAAAAAAAAGGUAUUGAGAAGCAAUCGGAAUAGGGAAAGAUUGUCCCCUACCCGAUCCCAUCUCUUAGAAUGGGACAAGGAUGCAUGGACGAUUGGAUGGGAGUCGCGAGCCUAGGCGGAAUGGUCAGAGGAUGUUUGAGAUGGUUACGCCAGCACAUAGCGAGACUUAUCCAUCUUAAACUAAGCUUAUCCUUUCCUUUCUCCUUCUCUAUUUAAACCCUCCUUCCGAUUGAUCCCCAACCAAAAUCUCUCUUCCUCUCCCUUCUUCCUCUCCAUCGAUCGACAGCCGUUGACUGCUGUAAUUGAGCCUAAUCAUCUGAAACCUCCUCUUUUCUUCUCAAAUUCUCUUUUCUUUUUCAGAUCUAGAAGAUUCUAUGGGGCUUAGGAUCGAGCAGUGAGGAGCAUAAGAUCUUAGAGAAUUUUAUUUAGUUUAUUUUUGAAUAAAUAUUUUGGCCUU
rnacentral:lncRNA from 1 species